rnacentral:rRNA from 1 species
UACGGAGGGGGCUAGCGUUGUUCGGAAUUACUGGUCGUAAAGCGCACGUAGGCGGAUCAGUUAGUCGGGGGUGAAAUCCCGGGGCUCAACCCCGGAACUGCCUUCGAUACUGCUGGUCUGGAGUCCGAGAGAGGUGAGUGGAAUUCCGAGUGUAGAGGUGAAAUUCGUAGAUAUUCGGAGGAACACCAGUGGCGAAGGCGGCUCACUGGCUCGGUACUGACGCUGAGGUGCGAAAGCGUGGGGAGCAAACAGG